UAUUAACAAGAGAUACAUUUUAUUUGAUAUAUCUACUAAAAUAGCUAUGAUGCACUAAAAAGUAAAAUAACAAAAAUUGAGAAGGAAAUCAUGCUUUAUAAUUUCAAAAUUACUGUCAAAAUUCCAAGAAAAUCGUAAUUAGUUAUAUUGUUGAUAUUAAAAAAAAGGACUCUCAUUCAUCUUGUCGAAAUAUUUUUCUCCACUUUUUAAAUUCAAAAGGAUAUCACCCCCUCAUCUAACCGAACAACUCCACCUUCUCAUUUUUCAGAAUUUCCUUAAAAUCUUCUAGAAAUCUAACUUUGCAAGAAUUGUCAAACCUUAAUGGACGUGGUGGAACUUCUUUGACAUUGUUAUGCAUACCCAGCAUUGAGAUACAUAAGAAAUAGAACAGUUAGUAAUCGCUUGGAUAGUAGCCAUAUUGACUGAGAUGCAUUCAUUUUUUUAAAGUUAUUAGGUGGAGAUACAUAAUUUUGUUUAAUAUUAAAGAGAGAUACAUAGUUAAAAUUAUGUCUCAUGCAUGGAAUUAAUGUUAACUAUGUAUCUCAACAUCAAAAUUUAUCAUUGAGAUACAUUCAUUUUUUAAUCUAUUUGAUCGACAUACAUAUUUCAAUAAUUAGACUGGAGAGAAAUACAUAAUUAAAAUUAUGUCUCAUGUAUGAAAAUAAUAUCAAUAAUGUAUCUCAACAGUAAAAUUUAUAUAUCUAAUAAAUUUUUCAAUCUGAUACAUAUGUAUAAUAACUUUUGGAUGUGUCUCUUUGAUUUUUUCAACAACUUUGAAUUUUGAAGGACCAACCUUCCAUUUCAAAGAAGCAUAUCCUUAUUUUCUCUUUGAUUUAACACCAUCAAUGGCGGCAUCAGAAGCUGAAUCGAUUUUCAUCAUUAAUGGUGUUGGUGCGGUGAUAUUGGUGGCAUCAAUAAUAAAUCAUUUUCUUGAAAAAAGAAAGAAAGAAAGGUCAAGAAAUUUCUUCCACAAAUUUUAAUGAUAAAUCAUUUGAUUUAACACCAUCGAUAGCAUUAUCAAUGAUAAAUUAUUUUCUUGAAAAAAGGAAGAAAGAAAAGACAAGAAAUUUCUCCCAUAAAUUUCAAAUCUAAAGAAGAAAUUGACGAUAAAAGGAGCAGUAAAUAAGGGCAUAGGUGGAUCAUUAUGCGAGAAAGAAGGGUGUCUUUCCCCCUUUUGUG
rnacentral:lncRNA from 1 species